rnacentral:rRNA from 1 species
GACGUAGGGCGCGAGCGUUGUCCGGAUUUAUUGGGCGUAAAGAGCUCGUAGGCGGCUUGUCGCGUCGUCCGUGAAAACUCGCAGCUCAACUGCGAGCCUGCGGUCGAUACGGGCAGGCUAGAGUUCGGUAGGGGAGACUGGAAUUCCUGGUGUAGCGGUGAAAUGCGCAGAUAUCAUUUGGAACGCCAAUGGUGAAAACAGGUAGCUGGGAGUGUGCUGACGCUGAGACACGAAAGCCAGGGGAGCGAACGGG